UGAUAAUUGCCUAUCUGGCUGAGCACCCAGCUGUGGGGCCCGGUGGAGGCUCCUCUUGCCAAGAGAUUAGCCCUGGGGAAGAGCUGUGUCUGUCCCAAGGAAGGGGUGCCUUUGACUAACAUGCGCAAAGGUGCUGUGUGGCACCUGCCCUAGGACAGGAAGUGCUCAGUUCAAGGUGGAUCAGGACACACAUGGGGCUCGGCUGCCCUUGUGGAGAUAGCACCCUUGCCGAUGGAUCUUCAGUUCUGCAGAGACAGGGUCCAUGUCUUCUAUUUCAUCCAUUCAGCAAGUAUUGAUUGACCACCUGCCAUGGGUUGUACCAGGGUCUCGCCCCAUGCUGAUGGCUGCUGAGUGACCAGGUGAUGGCUGACGGUGGGCGUGGCCGCUACAGCUUGAAAUAAGACAGCAAUGAAGUGAACCACAGCAAUGGACUCUUCCUUUCACCAGAGACUUCUCUGUAGCAGGCAAAGCUAUUUCACUGCAUUUUACUCACAGUAGGACUUCUUUCAAAAUUGGAGUCAAACCCUGCCACUGCUUUGACUGAGUUGAGGGAAUAUUCUAAAUCCUUUGUUGUCAUUUCAACAAUACAGUACUUACAUUCAGCAAUGUUCAUAGCGUCUUCACUAGGAACCACUCAAGAAACCACUUUCUUUGCUCAUCCAUAAGAAGCUACUCCUCAUGAAUUUAAGUUUGAUCAUAAGAUUGCAACAAUUCAGCCACAUCUUCAGGUUUUAGUUCUAUUUCCUUGAUAUUUCCACCACAUCUGCAGUUAUUUCCUCCACUUAAGUCUUCAACUCUUCAAAGUAAUCCAUCGUCUUCCAAAGACGUAAUCAACGUCUUCCAAACUCCUGCUGAUGUUGAUAUUUUGACCUUCUCUUAUGAAUCAUGAAUGUUCUUAAAAUGACAUCUGAAAUGGUGAAUCCUUUCCAGAAGGUUUUCAAUUUAUUUUGCCAAGAUUCAUCAAAGGAAUCACUACCUAUGAAAGCUCU